rnacentral:rRNA from 1 species
GCGAAAUUCCUUGUCGGGUAAGUUCCGACCUGCACGAAUGGCGUAACGACUUCCCCGCUGUCUCCAACAUAGACUCAGCGAAAUUGAAUUGCCUGUCAAGAUGCAGGCUUCCCGCGGUUAGACGGAAAGACCCCGUGCACCUUUACUACAGCUUGGCACUGACCAUUGAACCUACAUGUGUAGUAUGGGUGGGAGGCUUCGAAGCACAGUCGCUAGAUUG